rnacentral:misc_RNA from 1 species
GCCGCGCCAAGGCGCACGACAUAAAUUUCACCAUCGAUGCGGAGGAAGCGGAUCGCCUCGAACUGUCGCUGGAUAUCAUCGGCGCGGUAUUUGCGGACCCUUCGCUCGCAGGAUGGGAAGGAUUCGGGCUCGCCGUGCAGGCGUAUCAGAAACGCGCUGAAGCGGUGAUCGAUUACGUCCAUGAUCUCGCCGGGCGGCAUGACCGCCGCAUGGUGCUGCGUCUCGUGAAGGGCGCCUACUGGGACACGGAGGUGAAGCGCGCGCAGGAACGCGGGCUCAUUGGCUAUCCGGUGUUCACCCGCAAGGC